UUAAUAUCCUGACCUAGUGAGAUAUACAUGGAGGUUUAAUAUCCUGACCUAGUGAGAUAUACAUGGAGGUUUAAUAUCCUGACCUAGUGAGAUAUACAUGGAGGAGGUUUAAUAUCCUGACCUAGUGAGAUAUACAUGGAGGAGGUUUAAUAUCCUGACCUAGUGAGAUAUACAUGGAGGUUUAAUAUCCUGACCUAGGGAGAUAUACAUGGAGGAGGUUUAAUAUCCUGACCUAGUGAGAUAUACAUGGAGGAGGUUUAAUAUCCUGACCUAGUGAGAUAUACAUGGAGGAGGUUUAAUAUCCUGACCUAGUGAGAUAUACAUGGAGGAGGUUUAAUAUCCUGACCUAGUG